AACCUUUAGCCCAAACAAAUAUUAAAGGCAACGCCUGCCCAGUGAACAAUUAAACGGCCGCGGUACCCUAACCGUGCAAAGGUAGCGUAAUCACCUGUCUAUUAAUUGUAGACCCGUAUGAAUGGCAAAAUGAGGGUCUAUCUGUCUCUUAUAGUAAAUCAAUUAAACUGAUCCCCCAGUCCAAAAGCUGGGAUACAAACAUAAGACCAGAAGACCCUGUGAAGCUUAAACUAAAAUGUUAAAACACAUAACACCUCCUUUCGGUUGGGGCGACCCUGGAAAAAAAAAGAACUUCCAUACCGUUGACUACCCUCAACAACCAAGGCUGACAAGCCAAUAUGACCCAGCAUAGCUGACCACAGAACCAAGUUACUCCAGGGAUAACAGCGCUAUCUUCUUCAAGAGCCCAUAUCAAAAAGAAGGUUUACGACCUCGAUGUUGGAUCAGGACAUCCUAUUGGCGCAGCCGCUAUUAAGGGUUCGUUUGUUCAACGAUUAAUAGUCCC
rnacentral:rRNA from 1 species